AGUGAACGCUGGCGGUAGGCCUAACACAUGCAAGUCGAACGGCAGCACAGUAAGAGCUUGCUCUUACGGGUGGCGAGUGGCGGACGGGUGAGGAAUACAUCGGAAUCUACUUUUUCGUGGGGGAUAACGUAGGGAAACUUACGCUAAUACCGCAUACGACCUACGGGUGAAAGCAGGGGAUCUUCGGACCUUGCGCGAUUGAAUGAGCCGAUGUCGGAUUAGCUAGUUAGCGGGGUAAAGGCCCACCAAGGCGACGAUCCGUAGCUGGUCUGAGAGGAUGAUCAGCCACACUGGAACUGAGACACGGUCCAGACUCCUACGGGAGGCAGCAGUGGGGAAUAUUGGACAAUGGGCGCAAGCCUGAUCCAGCCAUACUGCGUGGGUGAAGAAGGCCUUCGGGUUGUAAAGCCCUUUUGUUGGGAAAGAAAAGCAGCAGGUUAAUACCCCGCUGUUCUGACGGUACCCAAAGAAUAAGCACCGGCUAACUUCGUG
rnacentral:rRNA from 1 species